UAAAUAUUUUAACUUCGAUGAGAGAUACUUCCUCAGUACUAUUGCAUGAUGGUAUGAAGAGAAGUAACAAUGUCAAUAUUUACAUUCCUUAAAUAGUUCACGUGAUUUAGUACACGCUACAUUCUGCGUAUAAUUAAGAAAACAGUUGCAAAAUAUCAUUUUAGCAAAGAUUUGUUGUUCAAGGUGGAAGAAAAUUUAAAAUAGUAAGGAGCUAUUUUAAAAUGAAGAUGCUGUUAAUACCAUUUCUCGUUACAACACUGAUGUCAAGCGCUGCAGCUGUUGACAGAUGUGGGGACAGAUGUACAUCUACUCAAGUAUGUACAGAUGAUGGAAUAUGUUUCGUCCUUACAUGUAAAACAACAAGACGUGUCUGUCGACAUUUCGCUCGACUAAUUGAAGAAUUUUGAUGCAAGUUUGGCAUUAAAAUAUUCAGUAAUUUCUAAGUAAAAAAAGCGCAAUAACUGCACCAACAUCCUUAUCCUAGUUAUGUAGUCUUGCCUACAUAUGGAGAUUAUGAUCGUAAACAAGUCGUCAAUAUCAAAGCCAUAUGUCAAACAGUUUAGACAUAGUAUGAACUGAAACUGAUUUCCAAGUCCAAAAAGAGUUCAUAGAACACGAAAUAACCCCCUUUAUGUAUUCAGUAAUUGCACAAGGAACAUAAAAUUAUUUGGUCACAGUACACAAAAGUUCUACUGUUCUGGAUCAAUGUGACCUUGAAAUUUGACUAUUGACCUCAAAAUCAAUAGGGGUCAUCUGCUGGUCAUGAUCAACCACCCUAUUAAGUUUCGUGAUCCUAGGCCCAAACAUUCUCAAGAUAUCGUCCAGAAAUGGUUUAACUGUUCUGGGUCAAUGUGACAUUGACCUUUGACCUACUGACCUCAAAUUCACUAGGGGUCAUCUGCUGGUCAUGACCAACCUUCAUAUCAACAUUCAUGAUCCUAGGCCUAAGCGUUCUUGAGUUCUCAUCCGGAAACCGUUUAACUCUUCAGGGUCAGUGUGACCUUGACCUUUGACAUACUGAUUUCAAAAUCAAUAAGGGUCAUCUGCUGGUCAUGACCAACCUUCCUAUCAACUUUCCUGAUCCUAGGCCUAAGCGUUCUUGAGUUAUCAACCGGAAACGGAUUUGUCUACAUACCGACCGACCAACCGACAUCUGCAAAACAAUAUACCCCUCCUUCUCCGAAGCGGGCAUUAAAAGACCAAAAGUCAGCUAAAUAUCGUUGCCAUAGUUGCAUACCCUUGAUUAUUAACAAGAGACCACUAUUUCAAAGCCAGUUAUCAAAUAGUUUUGACAAAACGUAGACUUGUCCGAAAACUGAAUCCAUUUCCAUGUCAAAAUAGGGUCAUAAUUCAGCCAAAAUACUUGACAGAGGUAUGUUUACACAAAAUAUGAACUGGUAUUAAAAUCUGUGUAAAAAUUUGUAGGCUUAAAGGGGUUAUAGUUCAGACAAUAUAAAUCCUUAAUGGAGUUAUGUACUCUUGUCUGAAACUGGACAUGGUGGUGUUACACAAGAGUUGAAUGUUUCAAAGGUAUAUGUCAAAAGCUUUUGACAGAAUGUGCACUAGUACGAAAACCUUAACCGUGGUGAGUAGGAUAGCUCUCCUUAUUCUUCGAAUAGUCGAGAUGAAAAUACCAGGUAUAUUUCGCUCAAAUAUUUCGAUAAUUCACUGAAAAACAUAUGCUGGGUAAUUCUAAGUAUUAAUUAAAAAUAGUUUUCUCUGAACGCCUGCAUCUCUGUUCACUCGGUGAAAUAUAGUUUCUUUGAUCUUAAACUGAAACAGAUGCUCUUUAAUAACUCAAUAUAACUUUAUAAGUUUGAAAGAAUGUCUAAAAUCAUAGAUCUACAUUCUGUUGCGAUACAAAACACUGUUGUUUUUUCUUUCGAGCCUUCCUCCUUUAGAUUUAGAAAGGAAAUAAUGAAUUGUUGUGCAGUAAAAAGAGUCAAUAAUCAAGCAGGUCGACAUGUUCAUCUAAAAACGCAACAAUUUGCGGUGUGUUUAUGUGCGUGUAGGUUUAGGUUUGUUAGAAAGAUUAAUAUACACCAAAAUAAACAUGUCUGAUUUAAGAACUAAACAAAAUAUAUGCUGAAAACGGAAUAUUUGAGGCCUUGUGCAUAUAUAAUACUUCGUAUCUUAAUAGCAGGUACAUGGCCUUCCUCGUACUACUGCCAAAAGGGGUACAAGUGCUGCGGUUUUAAUGGUUGUAUGCCAGCAGGUGCUGUAUGCUGUGGGAGCAUUUUCCAUUGUCCGAGUGGCCAUACUUGCUGCGGGACGAUGUAUUGUUGCGCAGCGGAAACUUUCUGUGAUGGAAAUGGAAAUAGUAUUUUAGAUCUUCCUCCUUAUAACCCAAGCAGAACGUCACGUUUAUCCAAAAACUCAAGAAUUUGCGGUGUGUUUAUGUGUGUACUGAUUUAGGCUUGUGACAGAGAUUGAUACACACAAAUAAUAAACAUGUCUGAUUCAAGAACUGAACAAAAUAUAUGCUAAAAACGGAAUAUUUGAGUUUAUUCACAUGUAAUACUUCUUUUCUUAAUGUCAGAUGAAUGGCCUUUUUUCGUACUACUGCCAAAAGGGGUACGACUGCUGCGGCCUUCGGGGCCUUCAGGGGAUUUGUAUGCCAGCGGGAGCUGUAUGCUGUGACAGCAUUUCCUAUUGUCCGAGUGGCCAUACUUGCUGCGGGACAAUGUAUUGUUGCAAAGCGGGAACCUUCUGUGAUGGAAAAGGGCAUUGUGUUUUAGAUAAGUAUUCAGCUCGGAAGCAAAAUGGAACGAGAACACCUUUUAAAACAACAAGAACAUUAUAUCCAACAAGAA